rnacentral:rRNA from 1 species
GAUGAACGCUGGCGGCGUGCCUAAUACAUGCAAGUCGAGCGAAUGGAUUAAGAGCUUGCUCUUAUGAAGUUAGCGGCGGACGGGUGAGUAACACGUGGGUAACCUGCCCAUAAGACUGGGAUAACUCCGGGAAACCGGGGCUAAUACCGGAUAACAUUUUGAACCGCAUGGUUCGAAAUUGAAAGGCGGCUUCGGCUGUCACUUAUGGAUGGACCCGCGUCGCAUUAGCUAGUUGGUGAGGUAACGGCUCACCAAGGCAACGAUGCGUAGCCGACCUGAGAGAGUGAUCGGCCCAGCUGGGACUGAGACACGGCCCAGACUCCUACGGGAGGCAGCAGUAGGGAAUCUUCCGCAAUGGACGAAAGUCUGACGGAGCAACGCCGCGUGAGUGAUGAAGGCUUUCGGGUCGUAAAACUCCGUUGUUAGGGAAGAACAAGUGCUAGUUGAAUAAGCUGGCACCUUGACGGUACCUAACCAGAAAGCCACGGCUAACUACGUGCCAGCCGCCGCGGUAA